GUGUGCUCUGUGGAUCACUGCAUCAACUUUUUCUGGCUUUGACACAGACAUCAUUUUGGUUUGUUACUUAUAUAAUUUCAUAAACUUAAAUCAUAGCUCUUUAGAGCUUUAAGAGUGCCUAUGAAUGAACCUCCUAUUACACACAAGAAAAUAGAGGCCCAAAGAAGUGAUGUGAUUUGCCUUCAGUUGUUUAAAUGGUGUUAGAGCCAAAACUGGAACGCUUGUCUCCUAAUAUCCAAACUGAUGCAUUUUCCACUACAUUGACCUAUUCUGAAGCCCAAAGGGUACUUGCAGAAGAUCUUUUCUUUGCAGUGAUGCAGAGGAAGCUAUGUUUAGACUCUAGACAGGGCAUAUUUGCACCAGCUUGUCUGUUCGCCAGCACUGACACAUUGUUCAUUUAAUUUAGUCAGACUACUACUCCAUUAGCUUUAUCCUAUGGUGGGACUGGCCCAUUUAUCCCUGCUUAAAAUUUAAUCAGACAUUUCACUGCUCAUCAACAUUUUAACAGAACCAUUUAGAGCACUGAAAUGCCACACAUCUCUGCUAAUUACUGCUAGCCAACAGAUGUCACUUUCACUGUCCUCUCUUCCCUGUCUCCUCCAGUUGCACAGACCUGAAGGAGAAACUUAUUCUUUAAAUACACCUUAAAGCAGAAACACAAUCAGAGAUUAAUGGAGAGACACCAAGCCACAUUUCUGCCUGACUGGAAUCUAGUCAUUUAGGGAAGUUAAAGGCUGUAUCUGAUACCUCAUCUGAAGCCCACUCUCAUUUUUUUUUUUCUCCUGUUGUAGAGAGUGAAAGGGUCAUGGGAAGUAGAAUGGAUGUAGAUUAAAUGACUAGACUCCCUGAUCUGCCAUGCUUGUCAUGCUUUUCUUAGGCUGCUCUCUGCCCAUGCUUGUUCCUUAUUCAACUGUGAAAUUGGAAUUGCAAGAGGAAUGUUGCAUUUUCAUUGCCAAGACUCUUCUCAUGAUGGACACAAGGAAAGGGGGACUGCUUUUGGAGCUGGAGAAGAACAUGGCAGGUGACAAGGACUCUUGGCAUGUAACAGUAUCUUCCAUAAUAUGGUCACAUGAAAUAUGAGAAAGAACUGUGGUUUUGGAUUUAGGCAGACAUGAAUUCAAAUCCUGAUUCUACCACCUACUGGCCAAGUGAUUGUGGCAAAGUCUAAGUUUUCUUAUCCAGGUAAUGAAAUUCAAAUAGUUACUUCACGGUAUCAAUAAGAGCAUCAAUUGAGAUAAUGUUUGUAACAUGCUUACUGAAGUACCUGGCAAAACAUAAACAUUCAGUAAAAGUCAGUUUCCUCUGUUUAACUUUUGAAAGCACCAAAGAGACUCUGAGGCAUGGACAGAGAUUAAGAUUUCUGUAGUACUUCAUCUACCUUCUUUGAGUGCUUCAUUUCUUAGAGGAAGUGCUUAAUGGUCAUCAGGGGCCUCUUCAUGUAAGAGGCAGAAUAUCAAAAUGAUUUAGGCACUACUUUUGUUUGUUCUUGCAGGUGAUGGACAUAGAAACUCUUAACCACCUGUGUUCUGGAUGGAAGCUGUACCUGUAGGACCCUAGUAAAAAACAAAUUUAUUUUUUACAAAGCCUAAAGAUAAUUCAAUGGAGAAAGUAAAAUAUUUUCAACAAACCUGCUGAAACCUUUGGAUAGCCCUAUAGAAAAUCAAAACAAAACUAUAAACUCAGUUCUUUUCUUAUACCAUACAUAAAAAAAUAACUUGAGAUGAAUAAUAUACCUAAAGGAAAACAUAGUUUACAACACCGAGGCAGACAAAAUUUUCUUAGAACUCGAAAAAUACUAAAUAAAAAAGAAAAAUAUAAUGUGUUUGAUCUCA
rnacentral:lncRNA from 1 species